CCCCUCUCUCCCUUCCCGAGCGGAGCGUGAGUGUGGGCGGGCCGGCCCCCGUCGGGACUGUCGGCGGCCCGUCGGGAAAGGCGCUUGUGCCGGCCCCUGCCUGCUCCCGCCCGGCACUGGCUGCGUGGGGCGGACGCGCGUGCACAGUCCUCGCCUGUGCUGCCCCGUGCCCGCACCCACUGCCGCUCCUUCCCGCAGCCGUGCCCCUGCGGUUUGCCGGGGAAGGCGUUUGGUCUUUUUCAGUUCCGCGUUUAUGAAUGAGCAGGAGUGCAGUGAAGCCGCCGGGAGCCGGUUACGCCGUGAGAACGCACGUAGCGGGAGUCACGGCCAUUUGCAUGUUUUGUUUCCAUCAGUGCCAUUGCCAUGAACGGAGUGGCGCACUGCCGCGCCCACCUCUCCAUACGGGUCUUCAUUCAUGUUUUUCAGAAAGGUUCAUGCGUGCCAGGGCUGUCAUCUGCCAGCUCUCGGUUUCACGAAGCAAGACACACAUAAGACUGCAGCCAAAGGCAACAUUUUCCCAGGCUGGUUGUUCUUCCAACGGACUGAUGAUGCUAUUUAUUUGUUUAUUUCCCUGGAAUGUUGCACUAACUGCUUGUAAACAUCCCGUAUGCACGUUGGCAAAACCAGUGAGUUUUCAGCCGAAGAGAUUACAUUAGAGCUAUUCGGAAGCUUGAGCAUGUUUGCUCGGUCGGUUGCACAGCAGUCAGCUUGACAGGCAGUGCAAAGAUUCUUAUAUCCAGAUGUGUAACUAGUUCCACUCUGUAUGCUUGGUGCCCAGACAGUCCAGAGGAGGGACAGUUCUUCUUUCCUUUACCGUUCUCUGUCAAAAGGCAAUUCUGCCUAGUGUGAAUAGAGCAGACCUAUUGAACCCAACUCUGAAAAAGGGCAAUGCCCAAGACUGAAGGAAGAUGAUGUUUGGAAAGAAUCAUAGAUUCUAGAAGAAGGAAAGCAACUCAGCAGGGCUUCAGCAACUGCGCAAUUCCAAGACCACUAAAACCAGUAAAGGCCUCUCUGCCAGGAGCGGAAGAGAGGCUAACACAUCUUUCCCUUAGAUUUGUUGACACAUCCAGUGUGUCCUGUUGAUGAGGAGCUGUCACCUCACUGGCUGGCUAUGUAAUUCCUUUGCGUGUGCAGACCAGAAUAUUGUCCACCUUUCCAGCUGUCACAUCACGUAUUCAAGUACAUUUCUUAUCUGCUGGGUAUCAUUACCAGCUGUAGGAUUUUUUUUCAAUAUUUCCUUGAUAAUAAACAUUUUAUAAAAAGUG